GCUGGGUGUGAUGGCACACACCUGUGGUCCCAUCUACUCAGGAGGCUGAGGUGGGAGGAUUGCUUGAGCCCAGGAGGUCGAGGUGGCAAUGAGCCAUGACUGCACCACUGCACUUCAGCCUGGGUGACACAGCAAGAUCCCAUCUCAA
rnacentral:sRNA from 1 species